rnacentral:rRNA from 1 species
UGGGGAAUAUUGGACAAUGGGCGCAAGCCUGAUCCAGCAAUGCCGCGUGUGUGAAGAAGGCCUUCGGGUUGUAAAGCACUUUUAUCAGGAGCGAAACGCUGUCGGCUAAUACCCGGCGGAACUGACGGUACCUGAGGAAUAAGCACCGGCUAACUUCGUGCCAGCAGCCGCGGUAAUACGAAGGGUGCAAGCGUUAAUCGGAAUUACUGGGCGUAAAGCGUGCGUAGGCGGUUUCUUAAGUCUGCUGUGAAAUCCCCGGGCUCAACCUGGGAAUGGCAGUGGAUACUGGGAGGCUAGAGUGUGUCAGAGGGUGGUGGAAUUCCCGGUGUAGCGGUGAAAUGCGUAGAGAUCGGGAGGAACAUCAGUGGCGAAGCGGCCACCUGGGACAACACUGACGCUGAGGCACGAAAGCGUGGGGAGCAAACAGGAUUAGAUACCCUGGUAGUCCACGCCCUAAAACGAUGCGAACUGGAUGUUGGUCUCAACUCGGAGAUCAGUGUCGAAGCUAACGCGUUAAGUUCGCCGCCUGGGGAGUACGGUCGCAAGACUGAAACUCAAAUGAAUUGACGGGGUCAUAGCUG